CAGCCUCUCGCACGGGCCAUCGGCCUCUUCAGCCAACUAUUUAGUUGGUUGCUAAGAAUGCUAAGCAUUUGACCGGCUAGGGAAAAUCCUUAGGCCGUUUAACACACCAUUUGGUCUAUGAACACCUUAGAGCACAAACGAACUAACAAACAAGCUUAAAACCAAGCAUACAAACUAAUCAAGAAUGCUAAAACUCUCUAUUUAGAAUAUAAUCUAAACUAGAGAGUGAGGGACAAACUGUAGUGGGAAAAAUAUGUGUACAUGUUAAAAAAAUCCCAUGAAGCUAGUCGGCCUAGCCAAUGCAACCCAACGAGACAUCUAAUCAAGCUAGUAAGGCUUAGUCCAAACGUGUAAAUGGACUCAUACUUGCCAAAUGAACCAUUGGAUUGAUAGACUAAUACCCGGACCCGGACCCGAAUCCAGAUACAUUCAGUUAGCAAGAAAACUUUGAAAUGGUCAUAGUAUACGCAAUUACUCCCAUAAAAAUUGGGAGGAGCAAGUAAGAACGGGUCAGACGAACCAGGGAGGCAGAAAUGGAACGACAAAUGAAACGACUAUAAAGAGGACCCUGAGAGAACAUCUGGGAGGCAGCUGAUAAUCACUUAACUUUUUCUACUCUUUUAUUGAAAUGAAGGCAACUAUCUCUCUCUCUCUCUCUCUCUCUCUCUCUCUCUCUCUCUCUCUCUCUCUCUCUCUCUCAGCGCUCUAGUCAAGCAAGUCGAAUCAGUCCGUCUGAUCUAACCUCACCAGACUUGACCCAGUCGUUCAGUCCCACCGUCAUCGCCACUGUCACUCUGACCAUUCCACUACUCAUCCAUCCAUCCAUCACUAUUUCAUUAUUUACAUCAUAGUUUUAUUACUUUCAAUUAGCUUUCGUUACAAUCUGACUAACUUGAGCGUCGAAGUCCCUUUGGCUGACACCCCGCCGGUUCUCCCAAUUGAACUCCUAUCUCUCUCUUUGUUCUUGACAGGUUGAUGGUGCCCGUCUAUUCAAUUGUAGGAAAUCACUUCUACAAGGUACAGUGAGAUCGGUAAGAUACAUCGGCUACUACUUGAAGCAUCUUCGAAGACAGCCAUACCCAAGAUUGAGGUAACAUUUGAACCUAAAGUUUGUCUGAAUGGAUAGUUUCGUACAGGAUUUUCAGAAGAUAGAAUAAGAGUUUGUUAGCACACUAUGGUAUCAGAAUGGGUAUGCGGUGGACUGAUACAGGAGGAUGGCAUGAUGGAUAUUGUCCUUGCUUAAGACAUGAAACUAUAGGGUGGUGCAUCGAAGACUAGGGUGCGCCCAUGUACAGACUGAAAAGAAUGGUUGUUCGUGCUUCACGGUAGAUGAAGGAAUAAGAACACAAAUGUUCUACACGGGGCAUUAGGUUAACAAUAAUGCCAGAUAGCCACGGUUAGGUUGUGGUGACGGCACCUAUGGAUAGUAGUGUGUGCACUAGUAUAAAGAGUUAAAGUGUUUGAUCACCCAUAGAGGAAUAAUCAUAAGGCUAAGGCCCUAGUGGGAAUUAAUGGGUGAUUCACAUUGCAAACCCUUGAUUGUAUAGAGAAAACUAACAUGGAAGCUGGCAUUUUGAGUUGGAAAGAUCUAUGCCAGUUGGAUAAGACACCACAGAUUUCAGUAUAGUCAGAAAAAGUAGCAACCAAGAUUAGUGUAGAACCUGCAGUUGAUAGUUGGCAGAUAUACUUCUAUGAAUAAUGAAAUUCAAAGAGAAUAUCUUGUAGGAAUGGUUAAGAAUCCUAUUAUUUUAGUAUGAAUGGGUCAAGAUAUAAGUAUUGGAUGAGUGAUCUGAUGGAAGCUGGCAUUGAGGAAGAGAUUCUAGAUGAGUCUUGUACUACCUCCUUAUGAUUGUUGUAUCCAAAAGAUUUGAAUGGAUGUUCAAAUCUAAAAAUUUUAUAUUGGAAGAUAAAAGGGUAUAGUGGUGGAACGUAAGGGUGGACUACAUUAGAUUGCAAGUAAGAUGAUUGGAUAUGAAAAGUUGGGAGUCAACAGAUUGAGUUAGCACACCUCGGUUUGUAUGAACGGGUAUGAUAAUAAUGCUAUGGGCGAAGGGAGACCGUAUGCCUCUGUGGGACACAGAAAUCGAUGGUGUCAGACUGAGACCCUUUAUUCUCCAAGUUCUAGAAAAGGAUUGUAAGGGGCAAUACGUAUAAGGUUAAGACUUAGAAUCAUUAAUUACCUUCAGAUAGACUGACAAUCUGAAGGAAUGACUCAGACUUUAAGAAGUUUACAUCGAAUGUAUAAGUAUUUGGGGCAUUGAGAUAAGUACGGUCCCUUAAUUGAAUGGUCGCGGUGAUGGAAGCCAGUCAACGGCUAGGGUGACUCUGAAUAAGAUACAAUGAGAUAGGGAGCGAGAGGCACAUGUCCUAAGUAAUGAAGUGAGAGACAGGAAGUAUGGUGGUUCAAAAUUGGUCUGAGGGACCAAUGAAGUUAUUAGGAUUGUUAGGGCAGAAGUGUCUGCCUAUUUAAAAGGGCAUAAGAGUUUGCAAAUUUCAAGUAUGGGAACAUGGAGUUCCAGGAAGGGAGACUUUGUAUCUCUCUGAGUAUUGAGGAAUAGAAAGGAUAGGAUAUUUUGGGAAAGAAAAAGGAGUUUUGACUCCGGAUUUAUUAGACUUCCGAGAACUUACCAAGGACUAGGCCAGGGGCCUAGUGAUUAGCCUUACCCUAGUAUGGGCAGUGGCUCAAAAGGUGUUACUGGUGCCAAUGUCAAGGAAAGAUGUGUAAACUAUUAUUGCUGAUGGGGUGAGGAGACCCUAGAAUUUCAAUGGGAGUUACUGCGCAAGCAAAAGCUAAUUGAAUUAUGAUAAAUAAGAUAAAGUAUUAUGGAAUACGACUGUCACUCUAGUGAAAGUAUUACUAAGGGAUAUAUAGGUAAGGGACUAGACUUUGAAGUUAUUGUCGAAUUCACGAGAUUUGUAUCCCAAGGUGUUUGAAUAAAUUUCGAGGAUGAAAUUUCAAUAAGGAGGGGAUAGUUUUAACGUCCCGAAUUUAUUGUUAAGGCUAAGUGCCUGGACUAUAGUGCCUGGAGGGCAUAAUUGGAUAUAUACGUUGAAUUAAUUGAAUAAAUGUGUGACUAUGUGGCAUACAUGAUUUAUAUGAUAAUAUGGAUUUAAAUGCAUAUUUAUGUGUAUUAAAUAUGCAUGUGGGCCCGUUCUUGAUAAUAAGGGAAUAUUUGUAGUAUUGGCCCGUUGCGGGCAUAAAUGCGAUUAUAUGUGUGUUAAUGAUUGAGAUCAAAUUAUUAUGUGGAUAUAUUUGCUAUAUUCGGCUCGAGGCGAUCCUAGGGAGCGGAUUAGUGAAAUAGUCACAAUGGGGUCCAAUACUCGGCUCGGGGCGAGCCUAAGGGUAUUUUGGAGACUUAGUGCAUAUUUAGGAAUUAUUGGUUAACGUGCAAUUAUUUGGUGAUUAAAUGGGCAUGUCAGGAUUAGUUGGUAAUUUAUAGGGCCAUUCGAGGAUUAACGAGAAUUGUGGCAAAUGAUGAUUUGGCCUUGGGCCAUUAAAGGAUAAGGGUAAGCUUAAGGGGUGUUUUGGUCUUUUGAGGUUAAGGAUAGAGUUACGCUGGGAAGUAUGUGGAAGAAAAAAGGAUGGACUUAGGCAGCUGAGUGGCUUGAGAAAAUACUAGAAAUGAGGGAAAGACAAAAGGAAGGAACUUCCUCUCUUUUUCUCUCUCACGGUUCCAUCUCCUCCUCAUGAAGAGUUAGGCAAUCUUGGAGAAUUGAUGAAGCAGCUGUGAAUUUGAAGCUUGAGGGCUUGGGAUUGAAGGUUGGAAUAAGUAGAGCAAUUCAAGGGGAGUCAAAUUCGCUGUUGAGGUAAGAAUUUUAGCUCUGGUUUUGGUGAGUUUUUUUUGUGACUUAGCUAGGCUGAGUUGUUUAGCUAAUGGUUGGAUUUUGAUUUGAUUUAACCAUUUGGAUUUGUUUUUUGGGUUGUUUGUGCUGUUUAUAAGGUGUUAUUGGGAGUUGUAGACUCAGUUAUGGCUUUAGAACAUGUUUAGGUUAGAUUAUGUGGCUUUGAAUUGGGAAGAAAAUGCUGAAAAGCCCCAGGAAUUCUGGGUUCGCGGGGGUGCGCUGCGGCCCAGUUCAUGAGCGCGUCGCGGCCUGCAUGCCUAUAGGGGUUGGGGUGACGCCUCUGACUUGGGGCACGCCGCGACCCUUAGGGCCAGGUCACGUCCGCAUAGGCAACUUUGCCAAAACAGUCUUGUUAGCCCAAAAACUUAAAUCUAAGCACUCGAGACAGUAUCUACUACCUGGUUUAGUAGAAUUAGGUCCUGGAGGCUCGUAUAUUAUUCCAAAGCUUUUAAUUGGCUUAAGAUUUUAAUGGUUAUCCACUAUCACAUUAUGACUAGGUUAUAUCGCAAAGUGUCAGGAUUAGGGAUCAUGCUCGAGGCUGCCAUGCGCUAGCUGCUCGGGACUUGAGGUCGGCCUAAGGGUGCUGGGGGUCGAUAGCGAGCAUGCAGAACGCAUCCGGCCUAAGGGUGUUGAGGUCGGCUAAGAGACCAGGGGACUCAGUCUAAGGGCGACGGGCCUGUAUGUUAUACCAUAAACAGAAGUGUGGUUCAGACUUAAUCAUUUCUAUUGAUUGAUGAGUUUGAUUAUGUAUUUGACUGAGCUGAGCAUUACCGUUGGUUAGGGAAAUGGAUAGUUGGACCAUCCAUGAGUUGGAGAGCUUCAGGGACGGUGUGUACAUACGCAACCUGCUUGAUCGUCACGACCGGUAUAGCUUGGGAAGAACUACGGUUAAACCUUGUUUUGCCAUUUAGGACAGCUAAGUUGUAUUCUAUUUGUCUUUUACAAAUCUGUAAAUUGAUUUUGGGAUCCCGUGUGUAAACUUAAUAUUUUAAUGAAAAAUAACCAUUU